UGGUAAAACCGGGCUCGGGAGGGGCUCGGGCACGGGAAAUGGCGGGGUAAAACCGGGCUGCCCCGGACUGGGGCUUCACCUAUUUUCAUGGAAUAAGGACUGAUAUGGAGCUAGUAAGGACAUAGAACAAACUACUGAGGAAGCCAUGAAUCCCCCUUGACUAAUGCUGGGAACAAGGCCGCUCUACUCCCAUCUUUCUUCUAAGUCCACUUUAACUCUCUCAUUUUUAUUUCUGAUUUUUAUUUGCUGUCAUUGUUAUCUUAAUUCUCAUUUUCCUUGAUUGUUGAUUUAUUUUUAUUUAUUUAUAUUUAUUACUAUUAUUUUUACUGUUGAUCAUUAUUCCGCAUUUCCACUUUUCUUUUUGUUUCCCAGGGGCCAUAGCAGUUCAGUCUUGCUGGGAUGUCUGUACUGUAUUAUCAAACUUACUCAAUUUGGUUUAUUGUAAAUAAAUUAUAUUACGAAACCGAACCAGAAACUAUCAGGAAAUUAGAUUUUACAGAUUUUCUUUCCAUCAUAAUAGCAGUAUGGACUAUGACUGUAGCAGUGAAAUGCUCACAGGAAUGAAUGAUGCAACCUCUCAAAAUAAAUCUCUUUUCAUCACCAAAAUUUCUCUGGGAAUUUGCAUGAUUUCAGAACCAUGCACAUAAUCUUGAAAUUGAUAUAGAGAAUAUCCAUGGAUUUUUACUUGUAAAAUGGGCCUCAAGUACAACUACUCUUCCAUGACAUUUAGGAUAAUAUUCCUGUCUCACUUAUCAU